rnacentral:rRNA from 1 species
GGCCUUGACAUACUAAGAACUUUCCAGAGAUGGAUUGGUGCCUUCGGGAACUUAGAUACAGGUGCUGCAUGGCUGUCGUCAGCUCGUGUCGUGAGAUGUUGGGUUAAGUCCGCAACGAGCGCAACCCUUUUCCUUAUUUGCCAGCGGGUAAUGCCGGGAACUUUAAGGAUACUGCCAGUGACAAACUGGAGGAAGGCGGGGACGACGUCAAGUCAUCAUGGCCCUUACGGCCAGGGCUACACACGUGCUACAAUGGUCGGUACAAAGGGUUGCUACCUCGCGAGAGGAUGCUAAUCUCAAAAAGCCGAUCGUAGUCCGGAUCGCAGUCUGCAACUCGACUGCGUGAAGUCGGAAUCGCUAGUAAUCGCGGAUCAGAAUGUCGCGGUGAAUACGUUCCCGGGCCUUGUACACACCGCCCGUCACACCAUGGGAGUUUGUUGCACCAGAAGUAGGUAGUCUAACCGCAAGGAGGACGCUUACCACGGUGUGGCCGAUGACUGGGGUGAAGUCGUAACAAGGUAAGCGUAGAUGA